AGAGUUUGAUCAUGGCUCAGGACGAACGCUGGCGGCGUGCCUAACACAUGCAAGUCUACGAGAAAUUCCGCUUCGGCGGGAGAGUAAAGUGGCGCACGGGUGAGUAACACGUAGGUAAUCUGCCUUUAGGACGGGGACAACUCCGAGAAAUCGGGGCUAAUACCCGAUGAUGCAGCGGCACCGCAUGGUGAAUGUUGUUAAAGGUUUCGACGCAAGUCGGAAUGCCUAUUGAUGAGCCUGCGUCCCAUUAGGUAGUUGGUGAGGUGACGGCCCACCAAGCCUACGAUGGGUAGCUGUUCUGAGAGGAUGAUCAGCCACACUGGAACUGAGACACGGUCCAGACUCCUACGGGAGGCAGCAGUGAGGAAUAUUGCGCAAUGGCCGAAAGGCUGACGCAGCGACGCCGCGUGAAGGAUGAAAUCCGUUAGGAUGUAAACUUCUUUUGCAGUGGAAGAACGUCCCGGUUUUAACCGGGAGUGACGGUACACUGCGAAUAAGGAUCGGCUAACUACGUGCCAGCAGCCGCGGUAAUACGUAGGACCCGAGCGUUGUCCGGAUUUACUGGGUGUAAAGGGCGUGUAGGUGGAUCUCUAAGUCGGUGGUGAAAUCUUGCAGCUUAACUGUAAAAUGGCGAUCGAUACUGGAGAUCUUGAGUGCGGAAGAGGGAAACGGAAUUCAUGGUGUAGCGGUGAAAUGUGUAGAUAUCAUGAAGAACACCGGUAGCGAAGGCGGUUUCCUGGUCCGUAACUGACACUGAGGCGCGAAAGCGUGGGGAGCAAACAGGAUUAGAUACCCUGGUAGUCCACGCUGUAAACGAUGGGUACUAGGUGCUGGUCCCGCUCCGCACAUGCGUUGACAUGUUCGGAGCGGGGUCAGUGCCAAAGCUAACGCAUUAAGUACCCCACCUGGGGAGUACGAUCGCAAGGUUGAAACUCAAAUGAAUUGACGG
rnacentral:rRNA from 1 species